UACAGAGGGUGCGAGCGUUAAUCGGAAUUACUGGGCGUAAAGCGUGCGUAGACGGUUAUUUAAGUCGGAUGUGAAAGCCCCGGGCUCAACCCGGGAAUUGCAUUCGAGACUGAAUAGCUAGGGUACGGUAGAGGGAAGUGGAAUUUCCGGUGUGGCGGUGAAAUGCGUAGAUAUCGGAAGGAACAUCAGUGGCGAAAGCGGCUUCCUGGACCAGUACCGACGUUCAGGCACGAAAGCGUGGGGAGCAAACAGG
rnacentral:rRNA from 1 species